rnacentral:rRNA from 1 species
AUUGAACGCUGGCGGCAGGCCUAACACAUGCAAGUCGAGCGGAUGAAGGGAGCUUGCUCCUGGAUUCAGCGGCGGACGGGUGAGUAAUUCCUAGGAAUCUGCCUGGUAGUGGGGGAUAACGUCCGGAAACGGGCGCUAAUACCGCAUACGUCCUGAGGUAGAAAGUGGGGGAUCUUCGGACCUCACGCUAUCAGAUGAGCCUAGGUCGGAUUAGCUAGUUGGUGGGGUAAAGGCCUACCAAGGCGACGAUCCGUAACUGGUCUGAGAGGAUGAUCAGUCACACUGGAACUGAGACACGGUCCAGACUCCUACGGGAGGCAGCAGUGGGGAAUAUUGGACAAUGGGCGAAAGCCUGAUCCAGCCAUGCCGCGUGUGUGAAGAAGGUCUUCGGAUUGUAAAGCACUUUAAGUUGGGAGGAAGGGCAGUAAGUUUAUACCUUGCUGUUUUGACGUUACCAACAGAAUAAGCACCGGCUAACUUCGUG